AACGCGAAGAACCUUACCAACCCUUGACAUGGGCGUCGCGGAUCCAGAGAUGGGUCUUUCAGUUCGGCUGGACGCCACACAGGUGCUGCAUGGCUGUCGUCAGCUCGUGUCGUGAGAUGUUCGGUUAAGUCCGGCAACGAGCGCAACCCACACUCUUAGUUGCCAUCAUUUAGUUGGGCACUCUAAUGAGACUGCCGGUGACAAACCGGAGGAAGGUGGGGAUGACGUCAAGUCCUCAUGGCCCUUAUGGGUAGGGCUUCACACGUCAUACAAUGGUCGGUACAGAGGGUUGCCAAGCCGCGAGGUGGAGCCAAUCCCAGAAAGCCGAUCGUAGUCCGGAUCGUAGUCUGCAACUCGACUACGUGAAGUCGGAAUCGCUAGUAAUCGCGGAUCAGAAUGCCGCGGUGAAUACGUUCCCGGGUCUUGUACACACCG
rnacentral:rRNA from 1 species